rnacentral:rRNA from 1 species
CCUACGGGGGGCAGCAGUGGGGAAUAUUGGACAAUGGGCGAAAGCCUGAUCCAGCCAUGCCGCGUGUGUGAAGAAGGCCUUCGGGUUGUAAAGCACUUUCAGUGGGGAAGAAAGCCUUGGGGCUAAUACCCUCGAGGAAGGACAUCACCCACAGAAGAAGCACCGGCUAACUCCGUGCCAGCAGCCGCGGUAAUACGGAGGGUGCGAGCGUUAAUCGGAAUUACUGGGCGUAAAGCGCGCGUAGGCGGUCUGAUAAGCCGGUUGUGAAAGCCCCGGGCUCAACCUGGGAACGGCAUCCGGAACUGUCAGGCUAGAGUGCAGGAGAGGAAGGUAGAAUUCCCGGUGUAGCGGUGAAAUGCGUAGAGAUCGGGAGGAAUACCAGUGGCGAAGGCGGCCUUCUGGACUGACACUGACGCUCAGGUGCGAAAGCGUGGGUAGCAAACAGGAUUAGAUACCCUGUAGUC